rnacentral:rRNA from 1 species
GACGAACGCUGGCGGCGUGCUUAACACAUGCAAGUCGAACGGUAAGGCCCUUCGGGGUACACGAGUGGCGAACGGGUGAGUAACACGUGGGUGAUCUGCCCUGCACUUCGGGAUAAGCCUGGGAAACUGGGUCUAAUACCGGAUAGGACCACUGCCUGCAUGGGUGGUGGUGGAAAGCUUUUGCGGUGUGGGAUGGGCCCGCGGCCUAUCAGCUUGUUGGUGGGGUGAUGGCCGACCAAGGCGACGACGGGUAGCCGGCCUGAGAGGGUGACCGGCCACACUGGGACUGAGAUACGGCCCAGACUCCUACGGGAGGCGGCAGUGGGGAAUAUUGCACAAUGGGCGCAAGCCUGAUGCAGCGACGCCGCGUGAGGGAUGACGGCCUUCGGGUUGUAAACCUCUUUCAGCACCGACGAAGCGCAAGUGACGGUAGGUGCAGAAGAAGGACCGGCCGACUACGUGCCAGCAGCCGCCGUAA